GAUCCUGGCUCAGGAUGAACGCUAGCGGCAGGCUUAACACAUGCAAGUCGAGGGGCAGCGGGUUGUAGCAAUACAAUGCCGGCGACCGGCGAAAGGGUGAGUAACGCGUGAGCAACAUGCCCCGGUAGUGGAGGAUAGUCAUUGGAAACGAUGCGUAAUACUCCGUAACAACAGGGACCGCAUGAUCCUUGUUUAAUAGAUUUAUUGCUAUCGGAUUGGCUCGCGUACCAUUAGCUAGUUGGCGGGGUGACGGCCCACCGAGUCGACGAUGGCUAGGGGAUCUGAGAGGACGGUCCCCCACACUGGUACUGAGACACGGACCAGACUCCUGCGGGAGGCAGCAGUAAGGGAUAUUGGGCAAUGGGGGCAACCCUGACCCAGCCAUGCCGCGUGAGGGAAUGAGGCCCUACGGGUCGUGAACCUCUUUUAUUCGGGGACAAGGACGCGCACGAGAUGCGCGUUUGAGGGUACCGAAGGAAUAAGCGUCGGCUAACUCCGUGCC
rnacentral:rRNA from 1 species